rnacentral:lncRNA from 1 species
AAAAUUUCCAUUAAACUCUGCCUAAGUCCUUUAGGGCUCUGUCUCUGUUUUGUUCCUCUUAAGGUUGUCACUUCUAUGCCUAAUGAUUAUCUCAUUGGUUCCAGGACAUUGUUACCAUUUACCUCCACUGGAUAUCUAUUUUCUUUCAAAAAGCACAAUCAACGUGCCUUUUCCCUGAUUUUCUCUGCCAAACAUAUCAGAUUGUGGGAGGUUUAUGGAUACACAGUACUUCACAGGCAACCUGAAAGGUCCCAAUUUGGGCCCCGAGUCUGCUGGAGAAAAGAGAAAGGCUAAGAAGCAGCCUACCUUACCUGUGGCUCUGGGUCUGAGGAUGGCCAGGAGAACAGAGAGCAAAGCAGAGCCAAUGCAAGACCUCUGGCCCUGGAAGCCGAAGG